UGGGCUAUUCCACCCGGCCUAUACAUGCAGUCGAACGGUUGUCAGCAAUGGCAAUAGUGGCGCACGGGUGCGUAACGCGUAACCAACCUACCCGAAUCUGGGGGAUAGCCCGCCGAAAGGCGGAUUAAUACCGCAUAAAACUGCAGCACGGCAUCGUGUAACAGUUAAAGAUUUAUUGGAUUCGGAUGGGGUUGCGUGCCAUUAGCUAGUUGGGGGGGUAACGGCCCACCAAGGCGACGAUGGCUAGGGGAGCUGAGAGGCUGGUCCCCCACACGGGCACUGAGAUACGGGCCCGACUCCUACGGGAGGCAGCAGUAGGGAAUAUUGGGCAAUGGUCGAGAGACUGACCCAGCCAUGCCGCGUGCAGGAUGAAGGCUUUCUGAGUCGUAAACUGCUUUUACCAGGGAAGAAAAAAGGGGAUGCGUCCUCUACUGACGGUACCUGGUGAAUAAGCACCGGCUAACUCCGUGCCAGCAGCCGCGGUAAUACGGAGGGUGCAAGCGUUGUCCGGAUUUAUUGGGUUUAAAGGGUGCGUAGGCGGCUGAUUAAGUCUGGGGUGAAAGCCCGUUGCUCAACAACGGAACUGCCCUGGAAACUGGUUAGCUUGAGUACAGACGAGGGUGGUGGAAUGGAUACUGUAGCGGUGAAAUGCAUAGAUAGUAUCCAGAACCCCGAUUGCGAAGGCAGCUGCCUAGACUGUAACUGACGCUGAGGCACGAAAGCGUGGGGAGCGAACAGGAUUAGAUACCCUGGUAGUCCACGCCGUAAACGAUGGAUACUCGCUGGUGGCGACAGACUGUCACUGGCUUAGCGAAAGCGUUAAGUAUCCCACCUGGGGAGUACGCUCGCAAGAGUGAAACUCAAAAGAAUUGACGGGGGCCCGCACAAGUGGUGGAGCAUGUGGUUUAAUUCGAUGAUACGCGAGGAACCUUACCUAGGCUAGAAUGCGCGUGACCGGUCCAGAGAUGGACCU
rnacentral:rRNA from 1 species